CUGGAUUCUUUGGGUCUGUAGUGGGCAGGCAGCUCUCUUCCACUGUUUUGAUUUGACUUUUGGGUGGAUGUUAUAAAAUAAUCCCAUAAUUAUGUGUCCUGUAUGAAAUCCAUUCCCUUGCAAACACUGAGAACAACAGGACUGAAUCUAAUGCCUUCCCAAGGACUAUAGCACCAACCCUUUAUUAUAGUGCCCAGGUGAGACUUGAUUGCAAUCCUCCUGCUCUGGUCUCCCAGACUGCCAGACUCCUGGGACCACAGGCCUGCCCACAUGCGUCACCCGUCUGCAACUUUGAAUACACUGGAGUAAAGGCUUUGCCUGAAAUACAAAUCAGUGCUGGCGAUCCAACCAGGGCCUUUCACAUGGCAGUCAAGUCCUCUACCACAGACUUCGUUAACACCACCUGAAUGAGAACAUCUGAGUCUAAAAGGCCAAGUCAUUUACGGAAGGCCUUGCUGUUAAUGCAGUCAGAGCUGGGUUCCCACAGGCCAAGAACAGCUGAAGUGAUCUUGAAGAAGUACAACAAAGCUUGAAGACUUAACACUACUGAGAUAGCAGAUGAGGCGGUGGCAAAACUGGCUGGGAAAGCAGGUGGGACCUGUUAAUUACAAGAUCCUGGACAGGUGAGCAGAACAGUUCCCAAAGCCCAACAUGCAGACUUCUCAAGAGAAUGCGAGCAGGUUUCCCAUAGGAGCAUUGGGAUCUGACAUCAGUGUGAGAUGUGGGGUCCCAGCACCACCUCUCAGGACCCAGAUGUAGAAGUUCCGAAAAGAAGUUCUUCAAGAUGUGGAUAGCAUAAAGGACACACACAAGAGAGUUUGCUGUGGGGAUGUCCUCACCAUCAUCCACCCUGCAUCCUCCAGGGUAAACUUUCAUUUUGCUUUUCCUCUUUUACUGAGCCCAAGCUUGCUCUGCAGAGUCAGUU